GUGGGGAAUCUUGCGCAAUGGGCGAAAGCCUGACGCAGCCAUGCCGCGUGAAUGAUGAAGGUCUUAGGAUUGUAAAAUUCUUUCACCGGGGACGAUAAUGACGGUACCCGGAGAAGAAGCUCCGGCUAACUUCGUGCCAGCAGCCGCGGUAAUACGAAGGGGGCUAGCGUUGCUCGGAAUUACUGGGCGUAAAGGGCGCGUAGGCGGACAGCUUAGUCAGAGGUGAAAGCCCAGGGCUCAACCGUGGAAUUGCCUUUGAUACUGGGUGUCUUGAGUAUGAGAGAGGUGUGUGGAACUCCGAGUGUAGAGGUGAAAUUCGUAGAUAUUCGGAAGAACACCAGUGGCGAAGGCGACACACUGGCUCAUUACUGACGCUGAGGCGCGAAAGCGUGGGGAGCAAACAGGAUUAGAUACCCUGGUAGUCC
rnacentral:rRNA from 1 species